rnacentral:tRNA from 1 species
GCCCAGGUAGCUCAGUCGGUAGAGCAGGGGACUGAAAAUCCCCGUGUGGGCGGUUCGAUUCCGUCCCUGGGCACCA